rnacentral:tRNA from 1 species
CAAAUCAGGGUUAUAUAGGACUAUCCUUUAUUUACAUUAAAGGGUUAAUUUGUGCAAUUCAAAUUGGUUUGA